GCGCGGUCUGCCUCCCGCGGCGGGCCGGGUCUCCAGGGAGGACCUGAGUUUUCUUCACCCAUUGUCAGGGAGGCGCCAUCGCCCUGGCUUUGGGGCUGGGGCCUCCGGGGAGGUUCCGGUAGGGGCGUUGGAGAGGCCGCUCUUUUUGCAAGGCCCGAGACGGCGGGCCCUGCGCAGGCCGCCCUAUUCCGCGCCCUCAGGGCGUCAGUAUCAGCCUGAGGCUGGAUACCCCCGCUGGGCCCGGAUGCCCCCGCUGGGCCCGGAGCAUCCUCCGGCGCUGCCCUCCCAGAGCCCCGCAGAGGCUGAGGUGGCGCGGGGGCGGCCCCGGCUCCGCGAGAAGCGGCGGCAGCGAGGGCUGGAGGACCCGGGCUGCGGGGCUCCGGGGCGUCUGGCCUGGGCGGGACUGAGCCCAUCCAGGGACUGGGACUCUGGGAUUCUGGUGUAGGUGGAUCCGGGGCAGGCUCAGGACCAAGUCCCUCUCCUUCCACCAAGGAGCGCCCAGAGGCCGGCGGGAGCUCCAGGUUCACCUCCUCCUCCUCCAGGAAAUCCCACUUCCAGCUAGAUGUCUGCAUGAACUACUGAAAGCUGCUGAGUGUCUUGCAGCAGCUUGACUACCACACAAAUGAAUCCACUCAAAUGUUGGCAAGUGGAGCAGAGUCCCAGGACAGGUACAGAAACACCCCCAGUUCAAGGAUCUUCACACCUGGAUUUAGGCCUACUCCUGCAACUACCCCAGAACCUGGAAUUUAUAUGUUCAACAUGGAGCCAUCCCAGCCAUGACAACAGAGAAUGUACCACUCUCACGUGAGUAAGAGGGGUAGGCAGUGCUCCUGUAUCACCAGCCCUUAAUGAGACCCUGAGGAAACCACAUCAUGGAGAUCAGCCCUUCUCUCCUGUAAGGAACUCAUCCUAUGAAAGAGCAAUUAGUGCCUGCAAGAGCUGUCUCUGGGACAGCGGUUCAUGUCUAUAUCUGCAGGGUAACCCUCAUAGUCAUAUGCAGUCAUAUCCAUAGUCAUAUCGGGAGUCAGACUCCAGUUUGACUGAGUGAAUGGAGAAACUAAACAUUUAUUACUGAAUAAUAACAUUAAUAAACCAUCUUAAUGAUAAUAAUAAUAAACAUAUUGAUGAGUAUUAACAGGAAUGAUGAUGAUUAUUAUGAUACUAAUAUCCAUAAUUAAUAAUUUUAAUAUUGAUAAUAGUACUAACCCUGUGGACUUGGGACCUAAAGAGCAGUUUCCCCUUACAAUUAUCCCAUAUUUGGCCACAGGGGGUAAUAUCGAGUUCCAGAAGGCAAGGAUUAACAUUCAGAAAAAUAGGAAAAACAACCUGCAGGUAAGCAU
rnacentral:lncRNA from 1 species